UGGUACCCCUUUGUACACACCGUCCCGUCGCUACUACCGAUUGAAUGGUUUAGUGAGGCCUUCUGACUGGCGCCGAUACUCUGGCAACAGAGCGCCGGAUGCCGGAAAGUUGGUCAAACUUGAUCAUUUAGAGGAAGUAAAAGUCGUAACUAAGGUUUCCGUAGGUGAACCUGCGGAAGGAUCAUUACCGAUGAUAUUCGUCCAACAACUACACAGUUGUACCUUGUGAACCGUACCAAACUAUUCAGGGGUCGGCUUGUCCGUUAAAUGGUCGUCGGACGCGAGAGAUCGCGGCCGCUCGACCGGCCCCGCACGCGUUUUGUUUUUUAUACAACAUAUGUGUACCUGUCUGACCAAGCGUUGCGGCCGGCCCAAGGGUCGGUCGCGGCAAUUAGAGCAAAAAACGAGAUACAACUUUUGACGGUGGAUCUCUUGGCUCACGCAUCGAUUGAGUGUGGAUAUAUCCAACGCACGCCAGCGUGCGGAAUUGAGGCGUCACGGUCCGUACUGCACGGACCGUGUCCUUGAAAGUCAGAGAGACUCGCCGCGUCGCGGGAAGAUUCCCCGUGCACACCAGCGGAGGCUAAAAUGUCUUUUGCCCUUCGCGUGCCGGGAAGUCGCCGCGUGCGGCGGUCGUCGUCGGGCGAACUUUAAUUAUCUUGACCUCAGAUCAGGCAAGGCUACCCGCUGAAUUUAAGCAUAUUAAUAAGCGGAGGAAAAGAAACUAACAAGGAUUCCCUCAGUAACGGCGAGUGAAGCGGGACCAGCUCAAAUUUGAAAUCUCCGAUGCCUGCAUCGGCGAGUUGUAGUUGCGAGAAGCACUUUCUAGGUGGAUCGGUCGUGCCUAAGUUGCUUGGAACAGCACGUCGCAGAGGGUGACAACCCCG
rnacentral:rRNA from 1 species